GUCGGGAUAGCUCAGUCGGUAGAGCAGA
rnacentral:tRNA from 5 species